rnacentral:lncRNA from 1 species
UCCUCCUUCCGGGUGCAGGCGGGCCUGGGCAGUCUGAGUCCUACCUCAGCCCCCACCUCACCUCCCUGCAUCCUCCUAGCAUCUCUGCAGGGCUAGCCCAGAGGUUGGCGGCGGAAGGCCCACAGCUCCCCUGGCUCCAUGGGCAAUGACCGAACAGCCCUUCACCUCUCUGGGCCUUGUUUUCUCAAACUGAAACUGGAGAGGAUGACCCCAGCCUGGGACCUUCGAGGGCCUCAAAAGGGCUCUGGGCCUUGCGUGACAGAGUCUUGCUGUGUUGCCCGGGCUGGUCUCGAACUCCUGGGCUCAAGUGAUCCUCCCGCCUUGGCCUCCUGAAGGGCUGAGAUGACGGCAUGAGCUGCCUCACGCAGCCCCCAUUCUACACCUCUGAAGUGAGUUUACAUGGUACAGUUGCUGUCUGGCUAGCUGCCGUCCCAACAUCACUGUCAGGACCCACACCUGAAAAGCACCAGCAUCAAAUCCUUCAGAAGAGUGUCAGCAGCUUGGAAGAAAUCCUAGAGGCUGGACGAUGAAUGUGAUGGCUGGAACUCAAGCAGCCACAGUGGAUCAUAAGGGACGGUGUCUUGCUAUGUUGUCCAAGCUGGUCUCAAACUGGCCUGAAUCAAUGCUUCCACCUCAGCUGCCAGAGGAACCGGGAUUACAGGCCUGAGCCACUGCAGCCAGCCAGUUUGUUAUUUUAAUGUAAAUUCUUAGUAAACAACUCAGGAGCUCUCUUGUCCUUUUAAAAUCCAUUUCAACUUCUGCUAAUCGGAGUGUAUAUUCAGGGCAACUUGAAUCUGUGCUCCUGGGAUGCAAUCCUCAAGCUUGGCCCAAAUAAAGUCUCCGCUGAUAUUAA